GACACCUUAUUGGGCCUUCUUCAUUCAUUAGGUAGUGUGUUGUCAUGCUAAGUGUGAUAGCAACCAAACUGUUUCAAGCAAAAAAACCCAGCUUCUCGUUAGAUAGAACUCCUCCAUUUUGCACAAAAGCUUUUGAUGGUUUUGUCACCAUAUUUUACCUGCAAAACUAUCGUCAUGUAACCACCUACAUCUAUAUGGACUGUCUUCUCAGGUAAAAAUCCAACAAAACGAUGAGUGCCUUACCUUGUGUCUUCGGACAGAGAUACUUUGUUAAUGCUUUGAGAUCUUCUUGGUCCCUUUCCUGUGUGUCCGUG